rnacentral:lncRNA from 1 species
AGCUCAAAGGCCCCCUCUUCCCUGAAGCUGCAUGUACUAGUUCAUUUGCAUUGUAUAAAGGAAUACUUGAGACUGGGUAAUUUAUAAAUAAGAGGGGUUUACUUGGCUCACAGUUCUGCAGGCUGUACAUGAAGCAUAGUGUCGGCAUCUGCUUCUAGUGACGAAACUUACAAUCAUGGCAGAAGGGGAGUCAGCGUGUCACAUGCAGAGAGCUGGAGCAAGAGAGAGAGGAGGAAGUUCCAGCCUCUUUUAAACAAGCAGAUCUUACAUGAACUCGUAAAGCAAGAACUCAUUCAUUAUGCAUAUCUAGAGAGAGAACUCACCCAUUACAGGAGCACAGCACCAAGCCAUUCAUGAGGGAUCUGCCCCCCAUGACCCAAACACCUCCCACUAGGUCCACCUCCAACCAUGAAGGUCACAUUUCAACAUGAGAUUUGGAGGGGACAAGACAUCCAAACCAUAUCACCAUAUCAACCGGGAGGUCCUCUUGGUUCCAAAUGACAGAGGAGCAAACCGGUCAGCUUACACAAAGGGGAGUGGGGGAGAUGCUUGGCUCACAUGACAUAACACUGAAGGGGCAGGGGCAGGGGCAGGGACCUCAGGGAUGACUUGAUCCAGGUACCAAGCAUCUCUGAGCCUCUCUCUGUGUCUUUCUGAUUUUCACAGUCUCUACCCACAUGGCUUGGGGCAGCCCCUCAUAAUCCUCACCACUUGAGAGCUACAAAGGGC